UGUAGUAAACCAGAUGAUUUGAUCUCAGAAUCUGUAAACACAUGAAUGAGUUUCAUUUUGUAGGUUCAGUUGAGAAUGCAGCUAAGACACUGGCAAAUGAAAGGUUAAUCCUUCAGUUGAAGUGCAGAAAUGUUUCCCCACAGCCUGCAGGUGGGAGAUGAAUAUGCUAAUUGGGCAAGCCUGACUUUCCAGUGAUUUGCAGGUGAAAAUGUAACUGGUGAUAAUUAAAGGCUAAUUACCUUUAGCUAGCAAGUGGGAACCAGGUGCUCUGAAGCAAAAGAGAGAGAAUUUGUUCCGUUCUGGUGCUUGAUUUCCAGUCACAUUGCCCACCACAGUUGUCUACAAUGAACAUUCAGGCUUUACUAGCACACAGUAGGUCCGUACUUAGGCUCCAGAUUAUUCGUAGUACCUACAGGUCUAAUGAUCCUUUUCUUGAGCAGGUUUAUAACUGCUGAAACCUUAAAGUGUUAACGAGAAAUGGGGAGACCUUUAGGGGCAGCUGGACAAGACAAACUCUGGCAGCACAAGCC